CAGGAGUUUAUUUGAGACUCUUGUCUGAAAUCUCAGGGGCCAGAGGGAGCUACUGAACAGACGGAAGUUGCAGCCUUUUGAACAGCCUGGAAAGCAUCCAAUAGAAUAUAUGAACCUAGAAGCAAGCAGGUAUAUGCAUAUAUGGAGACUGAAAUUCAGCCAGAUUUAUAGCAGGAACAACUCUGAAAAACUGCAGAAAAUUUACUACACAAGAUUAGCCUGCAAAUAUUUAUCUGGAAAUUAUCUACAAAGGACUGUGUAAGAAUAUUGUUUGUGCAUUCUUCUACAAGUUAAUUUUCUAAGUACCUCAACAGAUUUUUUAUGGAAAAUUUAAGAGAUUAAUUUUUUUACCCUACACCAAAAAAAAAAAAAAAAAAAAAAGGAAUAUUCCAAAAAUCCAUUGAAUCCUUUUGUGGGUAGUAUUAGCUUCCAGCAGAGUAACCGAAAGCACUCUCUACGGAGACUAUAAAAGAGCAACAUGAAGCAGAGAAACAGCUGGGUGGCAUAAGCAAUGCUACUCCUUCUUUCACUAACCAAGCGAACUAUGCUAGGGAUCUUAUUAUUUUAAUACAUUUUACCAUAUGUUGUGCCAGGGGUGAAAUCCAGCAGCUUCUAACAGGUUCUGGAGAACCGGUAGCGGAAAUUUUGAGUAGUUCGGAGACCUGGCAAACACCACCUCUGGCUGGGCCCAGAGUGGGGUGGGAAUGGAAAUUUUACAAUAUCCUUCCCCCAGGAGGGGUGAGAAUGGAGAUUUUGCAGUAUCCUUCCCCUGCCAUGCCCACCAAGCCAUGUCCACAGAACCGGUAAGGAAAAAUUUUGGAUUUCACCCCUGUGUUGUGCCUAUCUGAAGGCAGAAGGCAGAAGGUUGUGUAAUUUCUACCUCAACUUUGUGAGAAACUAUGUUGUUAAUUCUUUGUAAUUGUGUCACAAAUGGAAAAAGGGUGAGCUCAAAACAGACCCUAAUUUAGAAUAUUACCAUAUU